rnacentral:rRNA from 1 species
AGUGAACGCUGGCGGUAGGCCUAACACAUGCAAGUCGAACGGCAGCACAGUAAGAGCUUGCUCUUACGGGUGGCGAGUGGCGGACGGGUGAGGAAUACAUCGGAAUCUACUUUUUCGUGGGGGACAACGUAGGGAAACUUACGCUACUACCGCAUACGACCUACGGGUGAAAGCAGGUGAUCUUCGGACCUUGCGCGAUUGAAUGAGCCGAUGUCGGAUUAGCUAGUUGGCGGGGUAAAGGCCCACCAAGGCGACGAUCCGUAGCUGGUCUGAGAGGAUGAUCAGCCACACUGGAACUGAGACACGGUCCAGACUCCUACGGGAGGCAGCAGUGGGGAAUAUUGGACAAUGGGGGCAAGCUGGAUCCAGCCAUACCGCGUGGGUGAAGAAGGCCUUCGGGUUGUAAAGCCCUUUUGUUGGGAAAGAAAAGCAGCAGGUUAAUACCCCGCUGUUCUGACGGUACCCAAAGAAUAAGCACCGGCUAACUUCGUG